UACGUAGGGUGCAAGCGUUGUCCGGAAUUAUUGGGCGUAAAGAGCUCGUAGGCGGUUCGUCGCGUCGGCUGUGAAAACCUGAGGCUCAACCUCAGGCCUGCAGUCGAUACGGGCGGACUUGAGUACUGCAGGGGAGACUGGAAUUCCUGGUGUAGCGGUGAAAUGCGCAGAUAUCGGGAAGAACACCCGUGGCUAAGGCGGCUCUCUGGGACGGUACUGACGCUGAGACGCGAAAGCGUGGGGAGCGAACAGG
rnacentral:rRNA from 1 species